rnacentral:rRNA from 1 species
GUAAACCUACGGGGCGCAGCAGUGAGGAAUAUUGGUCAAUGGGCGAGAGCCUGAACCAGCCAAGUCGCGUGAGGGAGUACUGCCCUAUGGGUUGUAAACCUCUUUUGUCGGGAAGCAAAAGCCGGACGUGUCCGUCUGUGAGAGUACCCGAAGAAAAAGCAUCGGCUAACUCCGUGCCAGCAGCCGCGGUAAUACGGAGGAUGCGAUCGUUAUCCGGAUUUAUUGGGUUUAAAGGGUGCGCAGGCGGAUUUUUAAGUCAGCGGUCAAAUCGUGGGGCUCAACCCCAUCCAGCCGUUGAAGCUGGG